rnacentral:rRNA from 1 species
UACGUAGGUUGCAAGCGUUCAUCGUAAUUACUUGUCGUAUAGUGUGCGCAGGCGGUGAUUGAAGACAGGUGUGAAAUCCCCGGGCUUAACCUGGGAACUGCAUUUGUGACUGCAUCGCUGGAGUGCGGCAGAGGGGGAUGGAAUUCCGCGUGUAGCAGUGAAAUGCGUAGAUAUGCGGAGGAACACCGAUGGCGAAGGCAAUCCCCUGGGCCUGCACUGACGCUCAUGCACGAAAGCGUGGGGAGCAAACAGG